UACUCGAGUGGCGAACGGGUGAGUAACACGUGGGUGAUCUGCCCUGCACUUCGGGAUAAGCUUGGGAAACUGGGUCUAAUACCGGAUAGGAGCCAUCUUUAGUGUGGUGGUUGGAAGGUUUUUUCGGUGUAGGAUGAGCUCGCGGCCUAUCAGCUUGUUGGUGGGGUAAUGGCCUACCAAGGCGGCGACGGGUAGCCGGCCUGAGAGGGUGUACGGCCACAUUGGGACUGAGAUACGGCCCAG
rnacentral:rRNA from 1 species